AUUGAACGCUGGCGGCAUGCCUUACACAUGCAAGUCGAACGGUAACAGGUCUUCGGAUGCUGACGAGUGGCGAACGGGUGAGUAAUACAUCGGAACGUGCCCGAUCGUGGGGGAUAACGAAGCGAAAGCUUUGCUAAUACCGCAUAAGAUCUACGGAUGAAAGCAGGGGACCGCAAGGCCUUGCGCGAACGGAGCGGCCGAUGGCAGAUUAGGUAGUUGGUGGGAUAAAAGCUUACCAAGCCGACGAUCUGUAGCUGGUCUGAGAGGACGACCAGCCACACUGGGACUGAGACACGGCCCAGACUCCUACGGGAGGCAGCAGUGGGGAAUUUUGGACAAUGGGCGAAAGCCUGAUCCAGCCAUGCCGCGUGAAGGAUGAAGGCCUUCGGGUUGUAAACUGCUUUUGUACGGAACGAAAAGACUCUGGUUAAUACCUGGGGUCCAUGACGGUACCGGAAGAAUAAGCACCGGCUAACUACGUG
rnacentral:rRNA from 1 species